rnacentral:lncRNA from 1 species
AAAGGUUUUGGUGGUGGUCUGAGUGCGUUGAUUCGGUUACUAUCAAUUGAUGGUAAUUGCACUCAGUGGGUGAGAGGUAUCCGUCGAUCGAUGGGAGGUGAGGAGGGUCGAUCGAUGCCGGUCUCUCUUUGUCGAUCGAUUGCUGGCUCAUGCGGUCGAUCGAUUUUGACGUAGAAAGGGGAGGGUGGGUGAGGGUGUUUUUCUACGAAUUCCUCAUAGGUCAUGAUUCGAACUGCACUACACUCCGCAGUGAUUCAGCAGACG